UACGUAGUUAGCCGUGGCUUAUUCAAGGGGUACCGUCUUCCGCUCUUCCCCCUUAAAAGAAGUUUACAACCCGAAAGCCUUCUUCCUUCACGCGGCGUUGCUGGGUCAGACUUGCGUCCAUUGCCCAAUAUUCCCCACUGCUGCCUCCCGUAGGAGUCUGGGCCGUAUCUCAGUCCCAAUGUGGCCGGCCGACCUCUCAGUCCGGCUACUGAUCGUCGCCUUGGGUCGGGCCGUUACCUCACCAACUAGCUAAUCAGACGCGAGGCCAUCUUCCAGCGAUAAAUCUUUGACGUCAGAGUCAUGCGGCUCCAACGCAUCAUGCGGUAUUAGCAGUCGUUUCCAACUGUUCGUCCCCCUCUGGAAGGCAGGUUCCUCACGCGUUACUCACCAGUCCGCCACUAAGCAUUCCCAUCCGUUGUACCGAAAACUCCUUCAGGGUGCUCCGUUCGACUUGCAUGUGUUAAGCACGCCGCCAGCGUUCGUCCUGCGCCAGGACUCAAACUCCU
rnacentral:rRNA from 1 species